rnacentral:rRNA from 1 species
CCUACGGGAGGCAGCAGUAGUUAAUUUUCUUCAAUUUUUUUAACCCUUCCCUCUCCCCUCCUCUUUCCCGAAGAAGUUAUUCGUAAUGUAAAGUUCUUUUAACAGGGAAGAAAGAGAAAUUUGACGGUACCUGAAGAAUAAGCUCCGGCUAACUACGUGCCAGCAGCCGCGGUAAUACGUAGGGAGCGAGCGUUAUCCGGAAUUAUUGGGCGUAAAGGGUGCGUAGAUGGCAUAGUAAGUCUUUUGUAAAAAUGCUGGGCUCAACCCAGUAGGGCAAAAGAUACUGCAAAGCUAGAGUAUGACAGAGGCAAGUGGAACUACAUGUGUAGCGGUAAAAUGCGUAAAUAUAUGUAAGAACACCAGUGGCGAAGGCGGCUUGCUGGGUCGAUACUGACAUUGAGGCACGAAAGCGUGGGGAGCAAACAGGAUUAGAUACCCUUGUAGUC